GAGAGAGGGUGCGCAGACGGCCAGCGGGGCCGCGCCAGGGACAUACUGGAGACAGGAAGUGGCUGAGAGGGGGAGAGAGUUGGAGAGAGACGGCCGCGGAGGACACGGGGACGGGAAAGUCUGAGAGACGGGGAGAGCCUGACCCGGCGGGACACAGGCAGAAAGAAACACGCGAGCCAGACAGACGCAGAAGAAACGUGCCUGGUACUGGAUAGGAACUUCAUGGAAUGGAGCUAAUGGGCCGUAGGGCAGGUUUGAGUCGUGCCACCCUGGAGCAGAAGGUGGAGGGUAGGGAUAAGGGGGUGGAGCACCUGAUUCCAAUCUUGCCGCACGGAAGAAGAGUCUGUGAAGAAGGUGGAGAGAAACUAGGAGAAAAGCACAGGAUGUAGAGGUCUAUUCGGCAUAAUCUUCUCCCUCAUUUUCAUCUUCACCAUCAACAGAGAGAGCAGCAUACUUGCUUGCAGAACUGAACUUCUGUAACACAACGAGAGUGACAGGAUAAUGAAGGCCCUGAAUUAUCACAUCAAAACCCAAGACACAGGAUACUGAUCCUUUGGCAAUGGGGGAUGACAGUCAGAUGACACCCACUUGCUUGCUCAUCAGCAUUGUCCACUGGAGAGGAGCUAGGGAAGAGGGUCAGAGGCACAUGUGAUCUUACUAUAGUCUCAUACCACCUCUACACCUUGCAGAAGGGAUGAGAACAAAGGAAGACAGAAACCAGGAAAAAGCUAAACUUCUUCCGCUAUUUCAGAUAAAGACCAAUGUCUUAUUUCCAAACACUUUGUAUUCCAAAUGGAAAGAAGUCCAACGGCAAAAAGUUUAGAAUACUAAGAAUUUUUCUUAGAAUGAAAAAUUGGGAGCAGCCUUCAACACUUACGGAAGCUGGAUUUUCCUCAGGUUUCUUUGGCUCAGGUGCAGAUCUGGAGUCUUGAUCCUUCUUGCCAUCUUUCCUGCAGAGACGUAAGCAUAAAACCAUGUCUUUAGGAAAGGACUCGCCUAAUACAAACAUGUGCAUGCAUGCAGUUUCAAGGCACUGAACAGGCACCUCUAGUCAACAGUCCUUGUUGUCUGGAUGAUGUAUUACUUCUAGAUUUUCAGAAUCUUAACUGCCUACGUUGGCUGACUUUAGUUUGCUCACAAUGAGCGAUCUGGCAGUGCUCUGAGAACCAAGAACUUAAUUUCUUAAUUACACAAACAUGUGGAUCAGAGGAAAGACGAGAAAGAGAACAAGCAUACCUAUCUGACUCCUUCCAGUGGUCUCUGUUCCCUCCGUCUCCUGGACCACGGCUAGAGUUCCCAGUUUGGCCUUUUGGGGCAUUCAUCCCAUCUACUUUUUCAUCUGCUUGGGCAGUAAUGUAAACAAAUUAAAGGCAAGUAAAAGUAUCAAUGUCCCUCUCCUAAGAUUUCCCUUAAGCUGAAGAAAAUUGUGCCCACAUGUACUGAGGGAAACUAACCUCACCCCAACCCAGACUUCCUUCCUGAAGCCCUUCUUUCCACAUCCUCUACAGCACACAAAAAUACAAAAAACAAACAAAAUCCACUAAAAAGUUCCAUGUAGGGAUAUGCCAUCACGAAAAGCAAGCUGGAAAUAAAGACUAUGACGCUCUGUA
rnacentral:antisense_RNA from 1 species